CAACAGGAUAGUGUCUAUGAAGAGUGACCCAUCCAUGGGGGGUUCCUGAUCUUUAUUAAAGCUGUGCUGUGUUUUAGGGGUUUACUGUGUAAAUGCUGGAGUUUCUCUGUGUUUAAUGUUAACAGAACUGAAACCCAGAGAGCAGCAUCUCCAGAGCCCAGCUGUGUGUCUAUGAAGAGUGACUGGUCCAUGGGGGAACCUCCUAAUAUCAGCAGUGGAGGAGGAAGCUCUGGGUCUCGAACUGAAACCCAGAGAGCAGCAUCUCCAGAGCCCAGCUGUGUGUCUAUGAAGAGUGAUGCGUCCAUAAGGGAACAUCCUGAUUUCAGCAGUGAAGCUGUGACUUCUGACCCAAAAGAGAAGAAAAUUCACUUCAGCAGGGAAAAACUGGACCAUAUAUUCAAGGAGCUGCAGCAGAAGUUUAUCUCUUUAGUGAAGAACGAGCUGAACACAUUCAAGAAGCUCCUGAGUCCAGAUUACCCAGCAUGCUCUGAGAGAGAGGAGGAUGAUGAGGAUGAUCAGAGCGAGGAGGUGCUGAAGAUCACGCUAC
rnacentral:lncRNA from 1 species